rnacentral:SRP_RNA from 1 species
GCCAGGCAUGGUGGCGCGUGCCUGUAGUCACAGCUAUUUGGGAGGCUGAGGUGGGAGGAUUGCUUGAGCCCAGGAGUUCUGGGCUGUAGUGCGCUAUGCCGAUUGGGUGUCUGGACUAAGUUUGGCAUCAGUAUGGUGACCUCCCGGGAGCUGGGGAUCACCAGAUUGCCUAAAGAGGGGUCAACCGACCCAGGUCUGAAACGGAGAAGGUCAAAACUCCCAUGCUGAUCAGUAAUGGGAUUAUGCCUGUGAAUAGCCACUGCAGCAGUCCAGCCUGGGCAACAUAGUGAGAUCCCAUCUCU